ACCCAACUUCUGCUCAGUCUCAUAGUCAGUCAUGAAGGUUAGAAAAUCUACCUUCUCAGCGAGCUCAAGUGUGUGUCUAUCCCUUGCUUUCAUCUCCUCCAUAACUGCGACAUCCCACCAUUUUCAAACAUGGCACUCUCCAUCGUCAACAUUCGCACAUAGGUAACUAAGAGUAAGUCUAAGCACUAACCAGAACAGUGAACCAGUACUCGCAAGUAAUAGCACAACACUUCAAUGCACACCUUUAACUAAGCAUUAACCACCACAAUAAAAUGGUACAAAAGCAGACUUAACAUUAAUAACGAUUGUAGUUUGGUGGAUAUGUUUGUUCUUCUUCUUUAAAGAGUUAAGUAUAACAAUCUCACAAUACUAGAUUAGCUUUAUUACAAUCUCACAAUAGACGAUUAAAAUUUUGUUAAAAAAUAUCACUGAUUGCAAACCCGGGGAUUAUCACACGAUUAUCAAACUUUGUUAAAAAAUGUCAAUCCCCCGUGAACAUUCAAACACGAU
rnacentral:lncRNA from 1 species